AGAGUUUGAUCCUGGCUCAGGACGAACGCUGGCGGCGUGCCUAAAACAUGCAAGUCGAACGAGAGCUUCGGCUCUAGUGGCGAACGGCGGAGUAAUACGUGAACAACGUGCCCCUAAGUCCGGGACAAACGCAGAAAUGCCAUAAAUACCGGAUGUGGUCAGGAUGAUGCAUAUCGAUCUGAUUAAAGGUUUUUCGCUUAGGGAGCGGUUCACGGCCUAUCAGCUAGUUGGCGGGGUAAAAGCCCACCAAGGCGACGACGGGUAGGGGGUCUAAGAGGAUGAUCCCCCCGAGUGGGACUGAGACACGGCCCACACACCUACGGGUGGCAGCAGUUGGGAAUUUUGCGCAAUGGGCGAAAGCCUGACGCAGCGACGCCGCGUGGAGGACGAAGGUCUUCGGAUUGUAAACUCCUUUUGCAGGGGAAGAUAAUGACGGUACCCUGCGAAUAAGCCACGGCUAACUCUGUGCCAGCAGCCGCGGUAAGACAGAGGUGGCAAGCGUUGUUCGGAAUUACUGGGCUUAAAGGGCGCGUAGGCGGUGGAGUAAGUCCGGGGUGGAAGUCUAAGGCUCAACCUUAGGAUUGCCCUGGAAACUGCAUCACUUGAGUCAGCGAGGGGAUGGCGGAAUUCCCAGUGUAGCGGUGAAAUGCGUAGAUAUUGGGAGGAAGGCCGGUGGCGAAGGCGGCCAUCUGGCGCUGAACUGACGCUGAGGCGCGAAAGCGUGGGGAGCAAACAGGAUUAGAUACCCUGGUAGUCC
rnacentral:rRNA from 1 species